AUUUCUGUCAAGUGCUCCGAAUGUUAAAGUGAAGAAAUUCAACCAAGCACGGGUAAAUAACGAGAGUAACUAUAACUCUUUUAAAAUAGUCAAAUGUCUCGCUAUCUAAUUAAUAACACACAUAAAUGGAU
rfam:Populus trichocarpa scaffold_11_contig_583, whole genome shotgun sequence.